rnacentral:rRNA from 1 species
CCACGGUAUCCAGUAAAAAUUAUUUUGCUGAGUAUCG